ensembl:lncRNA
CUCCUCUUACAUGUUUUAAUUGAUCAGCAGUUAUCGGAAAGGUACAUUCAGAAUACAUGGAUUAACCACAACACAAUGAACAGACUGAAUGUUUACACUCCUAGAAAUGAAGUGGACUUAACUGGAAUUAUUUUUUUUUAAAACUAUAUGAGUUGUCACUGCAUAACUAUUCUCCCUUAAAGUCAUUCUGGAUAAAGCAUCCCUUUUAGCUUGUUAAUAAAGAAUGAUAUAUUAUUAGCACAUGAUGUCAGUAGCUGAGUUAAUAAGCUGAGAUUAUUGCUCUCUUUUUUCCCCUCUAGUGCCUCUUUUUCCCAAUCUUUCCAUUCAAUUAAGGUCCAUAAGACAAUUUUAAUUUAGAAGAAGGAUUUUAAAUUCUUUUGGAGGGCCUGAUCUGAGCUUCUAUUGGGUCAGGUCUGGCUUACAGUACAUAUGUUUGACAUCCCUGCUCUAAUACAUCUUGUACACUACUGUACACUUGGAUUGACUAAUUGAAUGAUGUUCUCACUUCUGUGCAGCAUUUAAUGUGAAAAUAAACAUAUACUUAGUUUUAGAUUUGUAUAUUAAUAUGACACAACAAGUUUUACAGUGCAUGAUAUAGACACAGGACUCAAACUAAUCAUGACAUAACAUCUUGAAGGGCUAUUAACCAGUUUGUUUAAAGACAUUUGUGUCAAGUAAAUUAAAUAUCCUCAACGGGAUAUGGGACAUUUGUCAGUCACAUGGUUUCUUUCUGUGAGACUUGCUGCUUCUUGUGUACAUUUAGACUGGCUUGCAUGUGCUUAAUCCUAGAUAUGUGACGCCACCGCAUCUUUUUGAACUCCUGGUCAUGCUUGGAUGGAAGCGCUAACUUCCCUCUUCUGUAUGCAUGAAUUCAUAGAUAUCUUGCUUUGGUUAAGAGAUGCUGACGAUUUCUCCACAUGGGGAAGAAAUGCCAUUUUCCCACCUAAAGAGCAGGGCCGGUUAUGCGCUAUUGGACAUGAGGGAACAGAUAUCUAUGCUAUUUCAGGAUUCAAAAUAUAUUAAGGUAAACACUGUUGCACUACUCUGGAACUCUGCAUUAUUAAGAUACAGUUUUAAAUCCAUCACCAUAAUAUUUAUAAAGACUACCAUGAAGGACUAGUAAUUGUAAUUCCAUCAGUUGCCAUCAAGCAUAAUGAGAGCAAAAUUAAUUAACACAAAAUGAACAAACACUAU